AACUUUCAGCUGUACACUCUUUCAGCUGUACACUUGUUCCAAUCCUAUACAAAAUCUCUAACAACUUUUAUUCCUUCUAUGCUGAAUGUUUGUGCCAUUCAAGUGCCAUUUCUGCUGCUGUUUUCAGUUUUUCUUCUUGUUUCAUCAUUUCUCUUUUCUUUCUUUCUGUUACUGAUUGACAAUGAAGCAGCUUGAAUAUUUUGUUUUCCAACAUCUCCCCUCAAGUUGGAGGGGAGAGAUGAAACCCCCAACUUGGAUAAUAAACUUUGAUGAGAGGAUCCAGAAAGAGGUGUAGUGAACAGAUCUGCGAGUUGGUUCUUUGAAGGAGUAAACUUCAGAGAGAUUAAUCCAGAAAGAUAUUGUUGAUGGACGAAAUGACAGUCAAGUUCCACAUGUUUCGUUCUUUCGUGGAAAACUGGGUUGUGGGCGAUAUGAAUCGCGGCUUGACUGUCGGAAUAAACUGGUACUGGUAGCAGGGGAUGAACAGAAAUAUCUUCCAGUAGGCGAGCUGACCAAGUUAUUUCCACGUUGACUUUUCUGAUGGAUCGAUAUUCGACUUCAGUGGAGGAGAGAGAAAUUGAAGCUUGCUUCUUCGAUUUCCAGGAGAUGGGGGAUCCACCAAGUGUAAUGAAGAAAUCGCUAAUCCAAUGAAGAGUGUCCUUGCAAGACGCCCAAUCAGCAUCACAAAAAGCCAAAAGUGACAAGGAAGGAUCAGAAGAUAAGAGAAUGCCUUGCCCAAGAUCUAAUUUGAGAUAUUUCAACACCCUAAGUGCAGCAUAAAAAUGGGAAUGACAAGGCUUCUGCAUGAACAGACUGAGCUUCAACACCGGAAAGGCUAGAUCUGGCCAAGUAUGAGUCAGGUUCCACAACAUGUUCCAUGCAACAUGUUCCACAUAAGUGAAUCUACUACUGUCGACUGAUUAGCAUGAACAUCCUACAAGGCGAACAGGAUGAAACAAGUUCAAAUCCAAAAAAGUGAAAGCAAUCCAAGUCAAGAUAGGAAGGACAUCAAGGCAGUCCAAUUCAAACUAGGAAAUAAGGAAAGAUGGCAGAAAUUAAAAAACGGAAAAGGUAAUCCAAUUUAAGUAAGGAAAGGAGAUCAACUGAAGGUUUCAAUUAGGGUUGCUAUAAAUACAAGGGAAAAGAUCAAAGCACGUGUGCAUAAAAAGGAGAUAAUCAACAAUCAAGCAAACAAGUUCAUCCAGUUGAAGGAGAACCUAAUCUAUACUUCUUAAGUCGUAGAUCAAUUGUAAUAGGUAGGUUCUUUUAAUUGUAACAUGUCAUAGUUCUUGUGCUCAGUGAUCUACAAACUGAGAUAGAAGUAUUUGCCUUCAAGUUGGGGAACUCAAAGAUUUGAGAACACUUAUCUUGGGUGAGAUUUGUAUUUUUGUAGUGAUAGGAAUUAGAAGUUUUAAUUCCUAAGUUACAAGAAGCCUUGUAAUUGUUUGAUUGUUGUUGAGGCUCAGGAGUUUUAUUGAAGUUGGGGUUAAAUCCUGUAGAGGUACAGGCCGUGUUUUUUUUACACCUUUCUUGAGCCGGAUGUUUUCCACGUAAAAACACUGUGUUCAGCUUUCUCUUCUGAGAACUGCAUUUACUUACCUGUUCCACAGAUAGGGAAAUAGUAGAAUCGAGAAAUCAAUAGGGCCCAUACACUAACAAGUGGUAUAAGAGUGAGGUUCUCUUAUAUAAGGCUAGCACCUAAGAAAAGAUCAACAUGAUGAAUUUCACACCUCCCACUAGUCACAAUGAAGGACAGUCAACUACUAGACCUCCACUCUUUGAUGGCACUCACUUUAUCUGAUGGAAAGUAAGGAUGGAUAUGUUCAUUCAAGGAGAAGACUAUGAGUUAUGGGACAGUAUCACUGAAGGUCCUACUAUUCCAAAGAAGUUAGUUGAUGGAGAACAGGUCAAAAAAGUGAGAAGUAAGUUUACCCUUAAUGACUUAUUGGCCUUGAAAAAAAUGCAAAGGCAAAAAAUAUCCUGGUUUAUGGAUUAGGACCAGAAUACAAGAGGAUAUCAACCUGCACUACUGCUAAACAGAUCUGUGAUGCACUAGUGAAUGCUCAUGAAGGAACUUCUCAAGUAAGAAAAUUCCAAAUUUCUCUCCUUUUUACUGAGUAUAAGGCCUUCAACAUGAAGGAGAAGGAAUCCCUGUAUGGGACGAUCACAAGUCUUACUACCUUAAUCAAUGAAUUUACUUCCCUUGGAAAAGUAAUUUCUGAGGAAGAACAAGUUGAGAAGGUAUUAAGAGUACUACCUAAGUCAAAAUGGAAUAUUAAGGUAACAACAAUCAGGGAAGCAAAUAAGGAUCUUGCUGGAAUGACCUUGGAUGAAUUAGUUGGAAACCUUAGAACUUAUGAGAUGGACGUUGAUAGAACCAAAGAACAAGAACCUCCUGAGAAAGUCUUGGCAUUAAAGGCUUCUGAUAGUGAUGAAGAAAUUGAGCUUGAUAAGGAGCAAGUUGCCUUUAUAACCAAAUACUUCAACAAAUUCUUCAAGAAGAAGAAAGGAACAAGUGUUAAGAGAUGAUCCAAUGACAAUCCAAAUGGCUGUUACAAGUGUGGCAAUAAUGAUCAUCAGAUCAGAGACUGUCUAGUUUAGGAAAUAGAAUAGAAGAAGAAAAGGGCAGAUAAGGAAUUAAAAGAAAAGAAAAAAAAUGAAAGAACAAUAUGUAAUGAUAGAAGUUUGGAGAUUUGAUUCAGAUAAAGAUGAAGUUGAUGAAACUACAUUUAUGGCUUUUGGAGAUUCAGAAUUAGAUGAAGAAGAAAAUGAUUCUGAGGCAAGUAUACUUGAUCUUAAAGAAAAACUGCAACUAUUUUAAAAAUCGAAACUUGUUUCCUUAAUGAGUGCCCUAAUUGAUGAUUUCCAAGAGUUAACCUCUGAUAGGGAUGAGUUUUUCAAUAGUUUUGCAAGCCUAAACUUUGAUCUCAUUGAUUUGAAGGAUUACACAGGAACUGUUGACAAAGAAAAUAGCUCACUUAAGAAAUAGAUUGCAGAACUAGAAACUUCAAACAAUGGACUUAAAUCUGAAGUCCUCAAACUAACUUUAACUGAUAAUGGAAAAAGGCCCAUGAGUAAAGAUCAAGAAAAUUAUGAACUUGAGGUAAUUAGAUACAAACAAAAAUGCUAUGAUUUAACUAAAAAAAUGAACAAGCUGAAUCAACAAGUUUCAACACUAAAAGUUGAUCUUGAAAGGGCAAAUAGGUGGACAAAUUCCUCAAGAAUUGUUCAUAAGCUGGGUGAAAGAGUGUACAAUGAAACGACUGGAUUGGGAUUCCACAAAAAAUUUGAUGUACCCAAAGAUUUGUGCUAUAUCUGUGGUAACCUUGGAUAUCCUACUACUGAAUGCCCAGUAGCUGAAAAAAAGCAGAUCCAAUAGUCAAAACCUAGCAUGGAAAGUUUCUCAGACCAAAAGGACAAAAUCCAGUUCUGGUUAGAGAAAUAGGUUGAGCUACAUGUUACCCACAUAGACUAAAAGACAUUUGAUUCAUCCUUUUACUCAUAAAACAGGACCCAAGUUAGUCUGGGUUCCUAAGUCUAACCAUUGAUUUCUAUAGCAGGAGAAAGUGAAAGGAAGCAAAAAGCACUGGUACUUAGAUAGUGGUUGCUCAAGAAAUAUUACUGGUGAUAAGAGAAAGUUCCUUUCACUCUCCAAAAUAGAUGGAAAAGGAGUUUCGUUUGGUAAUGGAAAAAGGGGAAUCAUUACUAGAGUAGGGAAGAUUGGCUUAUCUGAAUCAAAAGCAUUGCAAGAUGUCUAUCUUAUUGAGGGACUAAAGCACAACCUACUGAGUAUUUCACAGUUAUGUGACAAAGGUAAUAAAGUUAUUUUUACUGCUGCAGGGGUCAAAGUCAAAAGGAUGGACACCAAAGAAGUGCUCAUUGCAAAGAGAUACAGAAAUGUAUACAAAGCUGAUAUUAUGGCAUUACUAGGAUCUGAGAUGACCUGUCUAAGUACUGUAGAAAAUGAUCCCCUCCUUUGGCACAGAAGACUUGGUCAUGCAGGUCUAAAAUAAUUAAACAUACUUUCUUCCAAAGAUAUGGUAUUGGGAUUACCUAAAACCAAGUUUAAAAAGGAAAAUUUAAGCUCGUUAUUAUUGAUGAUUAUUCCAGAUUUACAUGGACAUUGUUUCUAGCCUCUAAGGAAGAUGCCUUUGGUGCUUUUGAAAUCUUUAUUAAGAAAAUUGAAAAGAAACUGGGCUCUUCUUUAGUUUCCAUAAGGUCUGACCAUGGUACAGAAUUUGAGAAUGUAAAAUUCUUAGAAUUUUGUUCAUAAAAUGGUGUAGAUCAUAACUUCUCAGCUCCCAUAACUCCACAACAAAAUGAAGUGGUGGAAAGAAAAAAUAGAACCCUGGAAGACAUGGCUAGAAUAAUGAUUCUCACAGCUGACAUUGCUCAAAACCUAUAGGCUGAGGCAAUGAGUACUGCUUCAUACAUCAUAAAUAGAUGCAUGAUCAAGCCUAUGUUAGAUAAAACUCCCUAUGAAUUACUAAGAGGAAGAAAGCCAAAUAUUUCUCACUUUAGAACUUUUGGUUGUAAAUAUUUUAUUCACAAUAAUGGAAAGGAUAAUUUGGAAAAAUUUGAUGCUAAAAGUGAUGAGGGAAUCUUUCUAGGAUACUCACUUAAUAAUAAAGCUUAUAGGGUUUUAAAAAAAUGAACUAACUGUGGUGAAGAAAGCAUGUAUGUAAUCUGUGAUGAAUCCUGUGUUAGGACUAACCUGCAGGAAGGAAGUGACACUGAGGAACAGGAAAUGUCACCCAGUUUAUCCACUGAAGGUAUCAAACAUGGAGAUACCUUGACAGGGGGAACUGAAGCUGAAGUCACAAUGACAGGGGAACUGAGCCUCAAAAUAGCCCCAUUUAGAACAUCAAUAGUAAUCCUGGAAGCUCACUAGUGUUGAUCCCAAAAGGAUACAAGUAUCAAGGAUCACACCCUAUUAAGAAUGUACUUACUAAUAUUACAUCUGGGAUUACCACAAGGUCUGGAUUGAGAAAUAUAUGUGCCUUCAAGGUAUUUCUACUAGAAAUUGAACCUAAGAAGGUAACUGAAGCAUUGCUUGAUACUGACUGGAUCAUAGCCAUGAAGAAAGAGUUGAACCAGUUUGAGAGAAGCAAAGUAUGACACUUAGUUCCUCUCCCAAAAGACAGAUCAGUAAUUAUGACUAAGUGGGUCUACAGAAAAAAAUAGAUGAGCAUGGAACAGUCACAAGAAACAAGGCAAGAUUGGUGGUCCAGGGAUACAAUCAGGAAUAAA